GGAGGAGGAGAAGGAGCCCCGCGGGCAGGCACGGCACUGCGUGUUCUCAGAGGGGGAACCCAACUUCACGACGCCGGAGCCCGGCGGGCACUCGGAGUGCUGCACACAGAACUCCAGCUCUGCAUGGAAGCCCUCCUGGCACUGACACGCUCUGUUGUGGGUGGCGUUGCACUGCUGCACCUCCACCUGCCGCUCCCCGCAGAUGACGUUGCAGUAGAGGCACUUCUCCA
rnacentral:lncRNA from 1 species